UACGUAGGGGGCAAGCGUUAUCCGGAAUUACUGGGUGUAAAGGGAGCGUAGACGGUAAUGUAAGUCUGGAGUGAAAGGCGGGGGCCCAACCCCCGGACUGCACUGGAAACUGCCGGGCUGGAGUGUCGGAGGGGCAGGCGGAAUUCCUAGUGUAGCGGUGAAAUGCGUAGAUAUUAGGAGGAACACCGGUGGCGAAGGCGGCCUGCUGGACGACGACUGACGCUGAGGCUCGAAAGCGUGGGGAGCAAACAGG
rnacentral:rRNA from 1 species